UUAAGCGACUAAGCGUACACGGUGGAUGCCCUGGCAGUCAGAGGCGAUGAAGGACGUGCUAAUCUGCGAUAAGCGUCGGUAAGGUGAUAUGAACCGUUAUAACCGGCGAUUUCCGAAUGGGGAAACCCAGUGUGUUUCGACACACUAUCAUUAACUGAAUCCAUAGGUUAAUGAGGCGAACCGGGGGAACUGAAACAUCUAAGUACCCCGAGGAAAAGAAAUCAACCGAGAUUCCCCCAGUAGCGGCGAGCGAACGGGGAGCAGCCCAGAGCCUGAAUCAGUGUGUGUGUUAGUGGAAGCGUCUGGAAAGGCGCGCGAUACAGGGUGACAGCCCCGUACACAAAAAUGCACAUGCUGUGAGCUCGAUGAGUAGGGCGGGACACGUGGUAUCCUGUCUGAAUAUGGGGACCAUCCUCCAAGGCUAAAUACUCCUGACUGACCGAUAGUGAACCAGUACCGUGAGGGAAAGGCGAAAAGAACCCCGGCGAGGGAGUGAAAAGAACCUGAAACCGUGUACGUACAAGCAGUGGGAGCACGCUUAGGCGUGUGACUGCGUACCUUUUGUAUAAUGGGUCAGCGACUUAUAUUCUGUAGCAAGGUUAACCGAAUAGGGGAGCCGAAGGGAAACCGAGUCUUAACUGGGCGUUAAGUUGCAGGGUAUAGACCCGAAACCCGGUGAUCUAGCCAUGGGCAGGUUGAAGGUUGGGUAACACUAACUGGAGGACCGAACCGACUAAUGUUGAAAAAUUAGCGGAUGACUUGUGGCUGGGGGUGAAAGGCCAAUCAAACCGGGAGAUAGCUGGUUCUCCCCGAAAGCUAUUUAGGUAGCGCCUCGUGAAUUCAUCUCCGGGGGUAGAGCACUGUUUCGGCAAGGGGGUCAUCCCGACUUACCAACCCGAUGCAAACUGCGAAUACCGGAGAAUGUUAUCACGGGAGACACACGGCGGGUGCUAACGUCCGUCGUGAAGAGGGAAACAACCCAGACCGCCAGCUAAGGUCCCAAAGUCAUGGUUAAGUGGGAAACGAUGUGGGAAGGCCCAGACAGCCAGGAUGUUGGCUUAGAAGCAGCCAUCAUUUAAAGAAAGCGUAAUAGCUCACUGGUCGAGUCGGCCUGCGCGGAAGAUGUAACGGGGCUAAACCAUGCACCGAAGCUGCGGCAGCGACGCUGAUGCGUUGUUGGGUAGGGGAGCGUUCUGUAAGCCUGCGAAGGUGUGCUGUGAGGCAUGCUGGAGGUAUCAGAAGUGCGAAUGCUGACAUAAGUAACGAUAAAGCGGGUGAAAAGCCCGCUCGCCGGAAGACCAAGGGUUCCUGUCCAACGUUAAUCGGGGCAGGGUGAGUCGACCCCUAAGGCGAGGCCGAAAGGCGUAGUCGAUGGGAAACAGGUUAAUAUUCCUGUACUUGGUGUUACUGCGAAGGGGGGACGGAGAAGGCUAUGUUGGCCGGGCGACGGUUGUCCCGGUUUAAGCGUGUAGGCUGGUUUUCCAGGCAAAUCCGGAAAAUCAAGGCUGAGGCGUGAUGACGAGGCACUACGGUGCUGAAGCAACAAAUGCCCUGCUUCCAGGAAAAGCCUCUAAGCAUCAGGUAACAUCAAAUCGUACCCCAAACCGACACAGGUGGUCAGGUAGAGAAUACCAAGGCGCUUGAGAGAACUCGGGUGAAGGAACUAGGCAAAAUGGUGCCGUAACUUCGGGAGAAGGCACGCUGAUAUGUAGGUGAAGCGACUUGCUCGUGGAGCUGAAAUCAGUCGAAGAUACCAGCUGGCUGCAACUGUUUAUUAAAAACACAGCACUGUGCAAACACGAAAGUGGACGUAUACGGUGUGACGCCUGCCCGGUGCCGGAAGGUUAAUUGAUGGGGUUAGCCGCAAGGCGAAGCUCUUGAUCGAAGCCCCGGUAAACGGCGGCCGUAACUAUAACGGUCCUAAGGUAGCGAAAUUCCUUGUCGGGUAAGUUCCGACCUGCACGAAUGGCGUAAUGAUGGCCAGGCUGUCUCCACCCGAGACUCAGUGAAAUUGAACUCGCUGUGAAGAUGCAGUGUACCCGCGGCAAGACGGAAAGACCCCGUGAACCUUUACUAUAGCUUGACACUGAACAUUGAGCCUUGAUGUGUAGGAUAGGUGGGAGGCUUUGAAGUGUGGACGCCAGUCUGCAUGGAGCCGACCUUGAAAUACCACCCUUUAAUGUUUGAUGUUCUAACGUUGACCCGUAAUCCGGGUUGCGGACAGUGUCUGGUGGGUAGUUUGACUGGGGCGGUCUCCUCCUAAAGAGUAACGGAGGAGCACGAAGGUUGGCUAAUCCUGGUCGGACAUCAGGAGGUUAGUGCAAUGGCAUAAGCCAGCUUGACUGCGAGCGUGACGGCGCGAGCAGGUGCGAAAGCAGGUCAUAGUGAUCCGGUGGUUCUGAAUGGAAGGGCCAUCGCUCAACGGAUAAAAGGUACUCCGGGGAUAACAGGCUGAUACCGCCCAAGAGUUCAUAUCGACGGCGGUGUUUGGCACCUCGAUGUCGGCUCAUCACAUCCCGGGCUGAAGUAGGUCCCAAGGGUAUGGCUGUUCGCCAUUUAAAGUGGUACGCGAGCUGGGUUUAGAACGUCGUGAGACAGUUCGGUCCCUAUCUGCCGUGGGCGCUGGAGAACUGAGGGGGGCUGCUCCUAGUACGAGAGGACCGGAGUGGACGCAUCACUGGUGUUCGGGUUGUCAUGCCAAUGGCACUGCCCGGUAGCUAAAUGCGGAAGAGAUAAGUGCUGAAAGCAUCUAAGCACGAAACUUGCCCCGAGAUGAGUUCUCCCUGACCCUUUAAGGGUCCUGAAGGAACGUUGAAGACGACGACGUUGAUAGGCCGGGUGUGUAAGCGCAGCGAUGCGUUGAGCUAACCGGUACUAAUGAACCGUGAGGCUUAACCU
rnacentral:rRNA from 1 species